GAUGAACGCUGGCGGCGUGCCUAAUACAUGCAAGUAGAACGCUGAAGGAGGAGCUUGCUCUUCUGGAUGAGUUGCGAACGGGUGAGUAACGCGUAGGUAACCUGCCUGGUAGCGGGGGAUAACUAUUGGAAACGAUAGCUAAUACCGCAUGACAACAGUUAUUGCAUGAUAACUGUUUAAAAGGGGCAACUGCUCCACUACCAGAUGGACCUGCGUUGUAUUAGCUAGUUGGUGAGGUAACGGCUCACCAAGGCGACGAUACAUAGCCGACCUGAGAGGGUGAUCGGCCACACUGGGACUGAGACACGGCCCAGACUCCUACGGGAGGCAGCAGUAGGGAAUCUUCGGCAAUGGACGGAAGUCUGACCGAGCAACGCCGCGGGAGUGAAGAAGGGUUUUGGAUCGUAAAGCUCGGUUGUAAGAGAAGAACGAGUGUGAGAGUGGAAAGUUCACACUGUGACGGUAGCUUACCAGAAAGAGACGGCUAACUACGUG
rnacentral:rRNA from 1 species